UGAAGAGUAACUGCGGCCCGGAGUGCACGGUCCAGUCCACCGCGCCACUAUUUGGAAUCUUGAUGCGAAUCACCAGCACCUGGUUCUCCAUGGCACGGAAGGGGCCAAGGGCCAGCCACAGCAUUACAGUAUUGGAGGUUCAAGGGCAUGGUGAUGACAUCAGCUUGACCCUGGUGAGGAACUCAGGGCUACUCGUACCACAAUGAAGAGAUUACUUAUGUACCAAGAAGAGACUGCAACUCAAAACAGGAGGCCAAAGAGACCAGGUUCCCACACUUCCUUCCAAGAGCACAAUCCUAAUGACUUGCAGAGCUUCUACCAGACUUCACCUUUUAAAGGUGUUUUGUCUGCAUGUAUGCAAGUGCACCUGUGUCACGCAAUGCCAU